rnacentral:rRNA from 1 species
CUUUUCUGAUCUAGUGGCGGACGGGUGAGUAACACGUGAGCAAUCUGCCUUUCAGAGGGGGAUACCGAUUGGAAACGAUCGUUAAUACCGCAUAAUAUAAUUGAACCGCAUGAUUUGAUUAUCAAAGAUUUAUCGCUGAAAGAUGAGCUCGCGUCUGAUUAGCUAGUUGGUAAGGUAACGGCUUACCAAGGCGACGAUCAGUAGCCGGACUGAGAGGCUGAUCGGCCACAUUGGGACUGAGACACGGCCCAGACUCC